rnacentral:rRNA from 1 species
UACGAAGGGGGCUAGCGUUGCUCGGAAUCACUGGGCGUAAAGGGUGCGUAGGCGGGUCUUUAAGUCAGGGGUGAAAUCCUGGAGCUCAACUCCAGAACUGCCUUUGAUACUGAAGAUCUUGAGUUCGGGAGAGGUGAGUGGAACUGCGAGUGUAGAGGUGAAAUGCGUAGAUAUCGGGAGGAACACCAGUGGCGAAGGCGACUACCUGGCCUGUUCUUGACGCUGAGGCGCGAAAGCUAGGGGAGCAAACGGG